rnacentral:lncRNA from 1 species
AUGGCCAAAAGCAGCUCCCUGAACGUCCGCGUCGUGGAGGGCCGGGCGCUGCCCGCCAAGGAUGUGUCGGGGAGCAGUGACCCCUACUGCAUAGUGAAAGUGGACGACGAAGUCGUGGCCAGGACAGCAACCAUCUGGCGGAGCCUGAGCCCCUUCUGGGGGGAGGAAUACACCGUGCACUUGCCCCUGGAUUUCCACCAUCUGUCCUUCUACGUGCUGGACGAGGACACGGUGGGGCACGAUGACAUCAUAGGCAAGAUCUCGCUGAGCAGGGAGGCCAUUACAGCGGACCCCCGAGGAAUCGACAGCUGGAUCAACCUGAGCCGUGUGGACCCAGACGCGGAGGUGCAGGGUGAGGUCUGCCUGGCUGUGCAGACACUGGAGGACGUGCGGGGCCGUUGUCUUCACUGUCACGUGCUCCAGGCUAGGGACCUGGCCCCCCGAGACAUCUCGGGCACGUCUGACCCAUUUGCACGUGUGUUUUGGGGCAGCCAGAGCUUGGAGACUUCGACCAUCAAGAAGACUCGCUUCCCAUACUGGGAUGAGGUGCUGGAGCUGUGGGAGAUGCCAGGUUCCCCAUCCCCUCUGCGAGUGGAACUCUGGGACUGGGACAUGGUUGGCAAGAAUGACUUCUUGGGAAUGGUGGAGUUCCCCCCACAGGUCCUGCAACACAACCCGCCCAAUGGCUGGUUCCGCCUCCUGCCCUUUCCCAGAGCAGAGGAGGAUUCUGGGUAAAUGUGGGUACAGUGGGAGGAGGCCGGGCUGGAAUCAUGUUGAGUUCCAGUCUUCUGCUCGCAGGCCAGUCCUUAUGGGUGCCCACAUCAGCCCACACGCUGUCACCAGGUCCCUUCAUUCAUUUAACACACGCUUGCUGAAUGUCUCACCACGUGCGUUUACAUGCGUCCAAAUGAGUUCACCUUAUUCCCAUCCACCUGCAAACACAUCAGUUCAAUCUGAUGUGUGUGCAGAAAUUCUGGUGCCUCCACACCCGUCCACACACCUGUUCACACCAUCCGUUCCUGUAUACAUGCGUUUACACUGGCCUCGUCUUUCUACACUGGCCAGAUCUGUUUACACUGCCUGCCUGUGUCCAUUCCUGUUUACACCUGUCGAUACCUGUUCACCCCUGUUUAUGCUGCCCACGCCUGUUCACACCUGCCCAUACCUGUCUUGUCUGACAAUUAUCCGUGCUCUUCACUGGCGCUCACACCUGCCUCUCUUGCUCCCCGCCCCUGCCCAUACAUACUUACGCUCCUUUUCCUGUGUUCUGGCCCCGGCCAGCGGGAGCUUGGGUGCUCUGAGGCUGAAGGUGCGCCUGACCGAGGACUCUGUCCUGCCCUCACAGUACUACCAGCCGCUCAGGGAGCUGCUCAUGGAGUCGGUGCUGGGGCCAGCAGAGGAAGAUGCUGCCAGCCCCUUGGCUGUCCUGGAGGAGCUGACCUCGGGGGACUGCCGCCAGGAGCUGGCCACCAAGUUGGUGAAGCUCUUUCUGGGCCAGGGCCUGACUGGGCCCUUUCUGGACUAUCUCACCCGGCGUGAGGUGGCACGGACCACUGACCCCAACACCCUCUUCCGUUCUAACUCCCUGGCGUCCAAGUCAAUGGAGCAGUUUAUGAAGCUCGUGGGCAUGCCCUACCUGCAUGAGGUCCUAAGGCCGGUGAUCAACCGCGUCUUCGAGGAGAGGAAGUACAUGGAGCUGGAUCCCUGCAAGAUGGACCUGGGCCGCACCCGGAGAAUCUCCUUCAAGGGUGCACCCUCCGAGGAACAUGUGCGGGAGGCCAGCCUGGGGCUGCUGACGGGCUACCUGGGGCCUAUCGUGGACGCCAUUGUGGGCUCCGUGGGGCGCUGUCCACCCGCCAUGCGCCUCGCCUUCAAGCAGCUACGCCAGCGCGUGGAGGAGCGUUUUCCUCAGGCAGAGCAUGAGGAUGUGAAGUACCUGGCCAUAAGCGGCUUUCUCUUCCUGCGAUUCUUCGCACCUGCCAUCCUCACCCCGAAGUUGUUUGACCUCCGGGACCAGCACGCGGAUCCCCAGACCAGCCGCUCACUGCUGCUGCUUGCCAAGGCUGUGCAGAGCAUUGGAAAUCUGGGCCAGCAGCUGGGCCAGGGCAAGGAGCUGUGGAUGGCCCCCCUACACCCCUUCCUGCUGCAGAGUAUUUCCAGGGUGAGAGACUUCCUGGACCAGCUGGUGGACGUGGAUGGGAAGGAGGAGGCUGGGGGCCCAGCCAGGGCCCUGGUCCCGCCCUCAGUGACUGUCCGAGAAGGCUACCUGCUCAAGCGCAAGGAGGAGCCUGCCGGCCUGGCCACACGCUUUGCCUUCAAGAAGCGCUACUUCCGGCUCAGCGGGGAGACGCUGUCCUACUCCAAGAGUCCUGAGUGGCAGAUGCGCUCCUCCAUCCCCGUGUCGCACAUCCGAGCUGUGGAGCGCGUUGACGAGAGCGCCUUCCAGCUGCCCUACGUGAUGCAGGUGGUGACGCAGGACGGCGCGGGGGCGCCGCACACCACCUACCUCCAGUGCAAGAACGUGAACGAGCUCAACCAAUGGCUGUCGGCCCUGCGCAAGGCCAGCGCCCCCAACCCGGACAAGCUGGCCUCCUGCCACCCCGGUGCCUUCCGCAGCGGGCACUGGACCUGCUGCCUCCAGGCCGAGCGCUCAGCUUCCGGUUGCAGCCGCACGCACUCAGCCGUCACCCUGGGGGACUGGAGUGACCCCCUGGAUCCUGAUGCUGAGACCCAGAUGGUGUAUCGGCAGCUGCUUCUGGGGCGGGAUCGGCUCAGGAUGAAAUUCCUCGAGGAUUCCAGCAUGGAUACAACUCUGGAGGCAGCCACAGAGCAGGGCUCCAGUGCCAUGGAAGGUAAGGGGAUAAGGAAAUCCCUUUUCUUUCUCUUCUCUGGUACCUCCCACAACUUGCCAAGAACCUCCCACUCCAGUCUCCGAGCCCCUUCCCCCUCACCCCCACUCUCCUGUUUGCAGUCCACCAGCAGGUCGGGGAGCUGCAUGUGCCCGGCUCUGGCACAUUUUAGGAUUCUUGGGGCUCUAGGCACAUCCAGAGUCUGA